rnacentral:rRNA from 1 species
GAUGAACGCUGGCGGCGUGCUUAACACAUGCAAGUCGAACGGAAACGCCCUGCUUUUGUGGCUUGCUCGAGUGGCGAACGGGUGCGUAACACGUGAGUAACCUGCCCUUGACUUUGGGAUAACUUCAGGAAACUGCGGCUAUUACAGGAUAGGAGCACCUGAUGCAUGGUGGGCGUCGGAAAGUUUCGGCGGUUGGGGAUGGACUUGCGGCUUAUCAGUUUGUUGGUGAGGUAGUGGCUUACCAGGGCUUUGACGGGUAGCCGGCCUGAGAGGGUGACCGGGCACAUUGGGACUGAGAUACGGGCCGGACCCCUACGGGAGGCAGCAGUGGGGAAGAGUGCACGAUGGGGCGAAGCCGGAUGCAGGAACGCCGCGUGCGGGAUGAUGGCCUGCGGGUAGUAGACCGCUUUCGCCGGUGACUAAGAGUGAGUGACGGUAAUGGAUAAAGAAGCACCGGCUAACUACGUG